rnacentral:rRNA from 1 species
AAUAGAUACCCUGGUAGUCCACGCCGUAAACGUUGGGCGCUAGAUGUGGGGACCAUUCCACGGUUUCCGUGUCGCAGCUAACGCAUUAAGCGCCCCGCCUGGGGAGUACGGCCGCAAGGCUAAAACUCAAAGGAAUUGACGGGGGCCCGCACAAGCGGCGGAGCAUGCGGAUUAAUUCGAUGCAACGCGAAGAACCUUACCAAGGCUUGACAUAUACGAGAACGCUCUAGAAAUAGAGAACUCUUUGGACACUCGUAUACAGGUGGUGCAUGGUUGUCGUCAGCUCGUGUCGUGAGAUGUUGGGUUAAGUCCCGCAACGAGCGCAACCCUCGUUCUAUGUUGCCAGCGGUUCGGCCGGGAACUCAUAGGAGACUGCCGGGGUCAACUCGGAGGAAGGUGGGGAUGACGUCAAAUCAUCAUGCCCCUUAUGUCUUGGGCUUCACGCAUGCUACAAUGGCCGGUACAAAGGGCUGCAAUACCGUAAGGUGGAGCGAAUCCCAAAAAGCCGGUCUCAGUUCGGAUUGAGGU